rnacentral:rRNA from 1 species
GACGUAGGAUGCAAGCGUUGUCCGGAAUUAUUGGGCGUAAAGAGUUCGUAGGCGGUUAUCUAAGUCUGGUGUUAAAGCCCGAAGCUCAACUUCGGCAUGGCAUUGGAAACUGGGUAGCUAGAGUGUGGUAGAGGUAUCGGGAAUUCCUGGUGUAGCGGUGAAAUGCGUAGAUAUCAGGAGGAACACCGGCGGCGAAGGCAAUCCCCUGGGCCUGCACUGACGCUCAUGCACGAAAGCGUGGGGAGCAAACAGG